GCGCCUGUUUAUCAAAAACAUGUCUUUUUGGUUAUUUAAUAUAAAGUCUGACAUGCCCACUGAAUUUUUAAAGGGCCGCAGUAUUUUGACUGUGCAAAGGUAGCAUAAUCAAUAGUCUUUUAAUUGGAGGCUGGUAUGAAUGGUUGGAUGAGAUACAAGCUGUGUCAUAAAAAUUAUUUAUUGAAUUUAACUUUUUAGUCAAAAGGCUAAAAGGAUUUUAAAAGACGAGAAGACCCUAUAGAGCUUUAUAUAAUUAAUAUUUAAUUUAUUAAGAUUUAUUAAAUUUAAUUAUUUUAUUAUAUUUUGUUGGGGUGACAAUAAAAUUUAUUAAACUUUUAUUUUUAUUUAACAUUCAUUUAGGGCUAUAUGAUCCCGUUUUAUUGAUUAUAAAUUUAAGUUACCU
rnacentral:rRNA from 1 species